AGCAGCAGCAGCCGCAACAGCGGCAACGACAAUUUCUUUGUAAAAAGCUAAUACAUGUACUAUUAAGGCUUAGUUUUCAUAGUUAACCUAUCCAUUGAUUUUCCCUGGCAUUUUGAUGUCACAAAACUGAAUGGAAGUCCCUAUAUUUUAUACAAAACGGUUUCCAUUUUAAAGCUGCAGAGUUUUGUUUUUACUUUUAGCCCUCAACGCAAGUACGUUGAGCAUAUGCAUACAUACCAUAGAAAUCGGACAACAACAACUACAUGAAAACAUCAACAACAACAACUUUUGAGGCGGCCCGAAGAAAGCAUUUCGCUAACAUUUGUCUUAGUGUUUUCUCCCAAUAAUAUUGUUGUACAUCUUUUUUACUUCCCACAGCUGGAGUAUGGAGAAGUGCCUAGAGCAGAGAGAGAGCGAGAGAGAGAAAGAGAAUGUGUGUGUGUGUAUGAAAGGGAGAGACAUCUGAUGGCACACAACA
rnacentral:sRNA from 1 species